UGACUGUGAAUGAAUGCAUAAUAUAAGGUGAUCAAAGUAGUCAAGUCUAAGUAACAUCUAGCUUUUAGUAAUACCCUAAUACCAUAAGAAUUAUGGUUUUACCA
rnacentral:lncRNA from 1 species